GUUUUUGUUUUGGGCGGCGUGGCGUGGAAAGGCGGCGGCGGCGGCGCCAGGGUUGACGUCUUGAACAACAAGCAUUUUGGCGGCUGGAAUUAGUUUGGAAAUUUUCAGACAACCCUGAUAGACUGCAGUCCCGCGGUCGUGCGAUUCGAAGCGUCCCUGUUAGACUGAAGUCCCGCGGUCGUGCGAUUUGAAGCGUUAUCUGCUCGAAAUCGAUUGAGUCCUGCCAUUUUCGAGCGUUUGUCGUGCGUUUUGAUGGUUUUGAUCGAAUGUCAGAGAAGCGACAUCUAGUGCGUGCAAAAUUCUCAGCAGGCAUUGAAAAAAAAAAUAUGACAGAUACUUUUCCAUUGCGGUUUCCAAGUUUCUCAAUCCAGUGAAAAAAAGUUUAUAAUCAAAAAAAAAGUUAAUUAUUGUGAAAAUUAUGUUCCAGAUUCAGGAGCAUGGCGGGCUUUACCAGACAUACAAAUGAAAGAGAUAGAAAUGAAAAAUGCUGGCUUCGGCACAUGGGACAAUGGCAAUGGCAACAAUGCCGCUAAGAACAAACCAAAGAUGAGUUCCAACUUCAGCAAGAACACCAAGAAACUCAAAAACCACCCUUGCAAAAGUGUGAAAUACAAUUGUUUGUACCUAUUACACUCACCCCGUUUGACAAGAAUAAUAAAAAGUACAAGUUUGCUAAUGAAUUCUCUUUUAUUUGCAUCAAAAUAACCCAAAAAUCCGAAACGAGAGCGCACGACAGUGGCAGGACAACCUAAAUAACAAAGGCGCCCGAAAACGGCCCGACAACGGCCCGUCAAAGUCGAUUUUCUCAAACGUCGAUUUCGACGAGCGUCGGACAAAGUGUUGCAUAUACGCACGAAAAGGGCCCGAAUUCCGUCGGACAAACCGUCGGAAUUCUGGCCGUUUUGUCGAGCCGUCGGACGGUUUUCGGGCCGUUGCCGGCCCCGUCCGUCAGUCAGGGGUUAUCUGCUCGAUGUCGAUUGAGUCCUGCCAUUUUCGAGCGUUUGUCGUGCGUUUUGAUCGAAUGUCAAAAUGGCGACAUCUAGUGUGUGUAAAAAUCUUGGCAGGCGUUGAUAAAAAUUAUUGACAGAUAAAUUUUCGUGGGUUUCCAACGUGAUAAGUUUUUUUUUCGUAGUGAAAUUAUAUUUUGUGAAAAAAGCAGAUUCUGGGCAGGAUGGAACCUAGACCUACCAAUAAACUAAUGAGAUGGAGUUGAAAAAAAAAA